ACUUUAUAACCGGCUGUUUUUAUUGCUUGAUUUCGUACUUUUAAAGAUAACGAAUUAUCAGUUUAGUCUUUAGAUAUUAGUCUUUGCAACUUUCCCAUCGAGCCAUUACAAGCUAUUUCAAAACUAUUUUCGGAAAUAAAGGGAGGACGAUCAGUAAUUGCAGAAACAGAUUUUGUCCUGAGUCGGGUAGAGAUGGCAUGAGAAGUAAAUGAGGUGACUAGAACCAAAUAUUAGGAGCCAUUUCUCUGAUACCAGAAACUCUCAAAGUUUUCAAUAACUAAACUUGCUUUAUCGAUUGAAAAUAUUCUCUCUCACGAGAUUAUCGUAGAUCUUGAAUGUACAUGGUUUUCCCUUCAAAUAUAUCAAAUCUUAUAAACUUGAUCAUUUGAUUUUCUUUAUUUAACCUUAUUACUGCCAUUUCCAAAGCUAAACCCAAAAUAUCUUUAGUAAUAUAGAAGCAGCCCACUUUGACCCAUUUCUCUAGCACAGCAUAUUAAGGAGAAAGAGAAAGAGAAAGAGAAAAAAGAAAGAGAAGGAGAAGAGACGAUGAAGAAAAGAAAGAGGAUAAAAAAGAAAGAGAAGAGGAAAGACAAUGAAGUGGGCUAGAGAUUGCCGUGAUCUUAAGUGUGCUAGAGAUAGCUAAUAUUUUAAAUAUGCAGAGGUUAGGUUUGGUAUCAAACGUAUCAUGCGCUAACAAUUAGUGCAAGCUAUCAGCAAAAAACAAAGGAACUGCUUACAGUUGAACUAAACUUUCAAAAAUAAAGAUUUUUUCAUAAAACUCAUUUUACUGAUGUAUCUUAUGAUGGACAACCAGGAAAUGCACUCAAAGAAGUGAGAAAUGAAAUUUACAGUUUUCUGUAAAACAGAUCAAGGUCAAUUUUUAGUUAAACCUUUUGCAUUCUGAGGCCGAUAAAGUUAGAAAGCUAAAACUUAUCAUUUUUCAAUAAAAACUGUUAGUGCAAAUCAAUGACCGAACACUUUUCAGUUUAUUCCUCUAUUCCUACCUCGUGAACUAACGGACAGUCAGCGUCAACUUCGAGAUGUUUCGUGUCGUGCUAACCUGAGAUGUCGAUCCCAGACCAAAAGCUUACUCCAGCGGACCCUGACCAUGGACGAAACUUGAGUCAAACUUUAUAUGAAGCCAAGCGCGCUAUGGGUAGCUAGAUACGAGGUAAGGGAAACAGUGCCUAUUGAAUAUUUGCAUGGGGAUAAGCGCAUGCUAAUCAUGUGUGUAAUCAUGUCAAUCGUGUUAGUUUUUACAAAGAAAUAAAUGAAACUUUUUUUAAUGAAAAUAAAUAAACUUUUUAAUGAAAAAAAUGAAAAUGAAAUUUAUACAAACUCAGAGGCCUCGGCUUGAGUCUCUAAGCUCGAUUUCUCGUACUCGAGACUCGACCCAACGAGUAUAUCUCGCCUGAAAUACUUAAGGAAGGAAACCGAAGGCAACUUCACAGCGCAAAUCAAUGUAAGUUAUGGGCUGGUCGUUUUCGGCCAGUUCAUUCCUCAUCUCCUCGACCUCAGCUCUUAGCUCCUGGUUUUUGUUUUGGAGUUGCUGGUUUUGCGCCAGCAGGCUCUGGCUUCGCGCCAGUAAACGCUCUACCUUCGCCUCCUGGUCAUCAAACGAGCGUAUUUUCUCGAUCGCCAGCUCGAGAGUACGGCGGAUAAAGGAGGGGACAGCAAUCAGGGCUGACUCAAGGUGAGUCAGUACCCUUCUAAUCUGGAUCGUUAAAGGUAAUGAUUGACUGAAAAGAGAAAAAAGGUUAUUAAAAGGUCAAAAGUGAAUUAAAUUAAGAAAGUACUUACCCUCGAGUUGGCAUGAUUAAUAUGCCUAUACUUGAACCAAACAUAGGACUGCAAUAUUUUGAAUUAAAGGGCAGAUUUUGAAUAUUUGAUAUGUUGGAUCGAUCAUUGACAUUCAAUUAUUGAAUAUCUGAAAAAUCGUCUGGAAAUAAAAAUAAGGCGAGCAAACAUUUUUAUGUUAAUUUGCUUUUCUAUGAUAAUAUUAACUUGUUUGACUUGAAUUAACUAGCCGAAAAAGACAGGUUCAUUACGUACAUCGACCAUCGAUGUGAGCGCGCCUUCGGCUUGCCUCCAGAGGUCUUCCAGGAGCGGUACCUUGAUUGGUACUCAGUUCGCGAACUCGAACUGAGAGACUCCAGCCACGGCCUCUAAUUUGUAUUUUUUCAUUUUUAUUUUUCAUUCAAUUAAAAAGUUAUUUCUUACUUACCGAUUGAAUCGUGAUCAUCGGCUGCUUACACCGCCUCAUUGAAUUUUGGAUUGAUCUUUGGGUGUCCAAAGCAGCUAUUUCUUUCAAAUCUUAUGAGUCAAGCUAUUAUUAUAGAGUCCUAAAGUUUUUCAGUAUAAUGAAACAUAUUAAUAUGUAUUUGAAUUUAACAAAGUAUUGAAGUUAAAAUUAAGUGAAAAAAUAGUAAGAGCGGAUGAAAAUGGUCCACUAUAAAUGGUUAUCUCCAAAAAAUAAAGAAUUUUCGAUUAUAUACUUGUUAAAUUUAAAUAAAUAUGAGCCACUUUAUUGAUAAACUUUAAGGUCCAUACCUUAGUAAAUACAAUGUAAUAUGUGCUUAAUCAUCUAUUUCUUUACCUAUAAUAAUUAAUCAAAAUUAGCGAGCGAAUCAUGAAGCAAAUUCUUUUGAAACCGAAUUUCAUAAGAACUUAUCAAUUUUAGGAAAGAAUGCAAAACCGAUUGUUUAGACCAAUUCGUUGUUUCUAGAUAACUUGAUAUCUUGGAUACUUUGUGAUACGUGUAUAAAAAGAGGUUAAUCAAUGGUUUUUAAUACUUUAUUUUCAUUUCCAACUUGCGAAUCAGUUUAACUUUUGACUCAGUUCAGUUCAACUCAGACCAACGAAAUGCGAUUCUUAAUAAUCUUGUCUCUCGCUUUAUGCAUUGGUUUUGCUUAUGCAGCCAGCGUUAACCGAUCAAAGCGUGAUAUCCUAGCGUGAUAAUGAUGACAUGGAAAAAAUCAUCAAAGAUAUAAAAAAGAAAGGUAUUGACCAUGUUGGUGGCGACAUCAAAAAAUUUGCUCAUACCUUCAAGGAUCAAAUAAAGUCAUGGCAUUGUCCAAACGUCUUUGAAAUAAUUAAAGCAAUGGCUAGCAAAAAACGUGAUAGAAUUGCUAAAGUCUUGUUCGAAGCUGCUGUUUGUAAAGCAGUGAAAUUUGCUUAACCUUUUCUGCUCAACCUUAAGAUUCACCCAACUAAAGACUAAUAUAUUAUUCAAAAUAUAUUUCAAUUCUUGUGCAACCCAUUUGAAAAGUUUAUCCUUAAAAUUCCAUGAAUAAAAUCAAGAUAAUUGAAUAAACAAGCGAACUUCACGAUCA